rnacentral:snoRNA from 1 species
ACAGCGCAGUCUCGAAGCAGUGGCUGGAGACUCAAUGAGGCUGCACAGAUAAAACCGAAGGAGCAAAAGUCGUGACUUCUCUAGACCUUGAAGUAUUACGUGCGAUAUUCUUUCAACAAGUCAUGACCUGUUUCCACGGAGGUGAUGGUUUGUUAUGUACCGUUACCAAUCUCAAAACAGGCAGAGUAAAGCAGUGGCAGUCAGAUGUUGUCUGGCAGGAGAAGUGCUCCUUUCAGAUACUUUGAAUUGCCAUAAUU